rnacentral:guide_RNA from 1 species
AAUAACGAAAACUUAUAUAUGAUAACAAGGGUGGUGU